AGAGAUGACACUGGAUCAGCAAAAUCAGUAAAGGAUCAUUGUGCAUUCGUCGUCUCCUCUCUUUGGCAUGCUCUCUUAGAGCCACCUACUUUAAAUACAUUGCUUACCUUGAAGGAUUUGAAGAGAAGAAAAAAGGCAGAAAGGCCCAGCAACUUCCAUCAAUGGUAUAUUUCAGCUUUGGAAGUAACCCAAGACUGACUCAGUCCCCACCCACUUUACCUCCAGCCAUCAUCUCAACAGGGCAGGCCCAGCAUGGAGUGCCCUGGGAACCACAGCCUAUGUCAGACAUAACUUCAGCCAGCUAACCUAAAGCACCAGGAACACACAAUCUACACAAGAUAUGACCAUAUACAAGACCACUCCUGCAAAUUUAUGUAAAGUAGCUAUUCUGCUAUUUCUACAAACACAGAAAGUCAAGGAAAUGAAGAGAAAGAGAAAUAUGUUACCAAUGAAAGAACAAGACAAAAACCUCAGAAAAAGAACUAUAUGAAACAGAUAAACCAAUUUAGCUAACAAAGAAUUCAAAGUAAUGAUUAUACAGAUGCUCACACUGAAGAGUAGAAGAACUCAGAAUUUCAACACAGGUAAAAAAUAUAAGAACCAAUCAGACUUGGUUCCUGUCCAAGAUGGCAGAGGAGUAGGAGACCUUAAUUUUCUCUGGUUCCAGGAAUUCAGCUAGAUAGCUAUCAAAUAAUUCUGAACACCUGCAAACUCAACUGAAGCUCUAAGAAAAGAAUUGCUGCAAUUCUACAAAUAGAAAAGCGGCCACUUUCUGCAAAGUAGAAGGUGUGGAGAAGCAAAUCCAAGGCAAUACAUGGGAAGAUAAACUGCUGGAGGAAGGAGCCUCUGCAGCAGCUACUGGAAAGUGAUAUAUCAGUAGAGCACAAAAUUGGAACUUUUAGAAGUCGUCUCCGGUGAGGGAAAGGUGCUCUGGUGGCAAAAUGGGACAGAAUCCUAGGUGGGACAGUGUGGUCUCAGGAUCCCCAAGGUCACCGAAAGAACAGGGGUACCUAAGUGCAUCAGAGCAGGAAAUCCGACUGCAUCAGCAAGCCCAGGAGUGGGCUCUUGGCUAGGUCUUGCCACAAACCACAAACUGUGGCACAGUUGUCCUGCUCUCCAGGACAGGGCCCAGCAAACAGCAGAAUCUCAGUGAGAGCCCCCCUCCAAGGGGAGUGGUGCAGGUGCAUGGUGCAGGACCCUACAGGGUUUGGAGACUCAUAAUUGAGGUCAAGUGCCUGAAACAGAAAUGAUCAGUCAUAGGCCAGCUGAGCACAAAGUGUGGACAGAGACAGGAGUGACUGAUUUUCCCUGAGGAGCAUAGAGAGUGCCUGAACUCCAGAGCUGGAGACUGGGAGGCUACUAUCUUCACCCUCAUCCUCUAAAGCAGGUAGAAAGCCUUUAGGGAGCAAAAGCCACAUAGAACAAUCCAGAACAGAUUACUUAGCCUGGCCCCCUGGCAAAGGCAGUGCAGAUCCACCUGGGGAGAGGACAGAUACCUGAGAAUCAGCGUAACAGGCCCCUUCCCCAGAAGAUCAGCAAGAACAUUCAGCUAAGACCAAGUUUACAGAUCACACAGAAGUGGAAAACCCCAGUGCUAGGCAAAUAUAUAGAGAAUUUGUGUUUUUUUUCUCAUAAUUCCUUAGUCUUCCAAUUUAAAAACUUUUUUCUUUUUCCUUUGCAACCAAUUUCGAUCAAC